UAUCAUUGAUUAAAUAUACAAUGCCACGUGACGGUAUACACAUGCGUAGAAACACAAAUAAAACUUUAAAAAAAUAUGGGCACAAAAGGAAACUAAUAUAUUGGUACAAAUUAAAAAUGAAAAGAAAAUUGGUACAAAUUAAAAUAUAUUUGAAAAUUAAAAAUAGGUACAAACUAAAAAUAAAAAUAUAUGAUAAAAAAUUUAGCCAUAAAUAUAAAUAUACUAAUUGUAACAUUUUAACAGGAAUAUAUUUAAAAAUAAAAAAAAAUAUUAUUCAAAUAAUUAAUGAUGUUAUUAAUACCCAAGGACCUUGAUCAAAAAUUAAAAAUGAAUAGAAUUUUAAUCAAUAGAGUAACAAAAAGAAUGAUGUAAACUUAAUUUCUCCAAAUUUAAAAGUAACAUUUUAAUAGAAAACGUGUUUAUAAUUCCAUGCUAUAUCCACAAAGUAUCACAUGGGAAUUUCAUGGGCAACCACCAUAUCACAUAUGUUAAAGUUACUCACCUGAAUCUGCAUUAUAGCACUCCAUACAAAGAUCAAGUGCUCAAGUAAGAUCAACGCCUAUAAACAAAGUACAAAUCUCGUCUUAGAACACUAUUGAUAAAAUACGUAAUUUUAGAUUGUGCAUGCCAACUACAGUAUUCAAGAAUGAUUCGGAACAUGUUGACCAAAAGUCAGCUCUCAGUCAAAGUAGUUUCCGCUUAGGUCAACAACCCUAGUUAUUUCAAUCUGGAAGAUCCGCACAUCGAACUUCUGAUCCUUAGGUUCCUAAGGGACUUCACUUUCACAACAACAUAAUACAAUUCAAUAACGAUCCAAAUUAAGGCAUCACAUUGUCUCCUACAGAUGAAGGGCAAAGUUUUGAAUGCCCGAUGAGUCGCGAAGAGAAGCACAUAGUAGACAAGUCCCAUAAAAACAGUAGAGUCAAGGCAAUCUGUAAUUCUCCCUAUCGUUGAACUUCAUGUAUGAGACAAAAUGGUGGUCUUGACACCGUCUUUUGAUAUAAAAAAUUCAUUUGGCUCGAAAGUUUUGACUUUUAAUUAACAAUCAUAUAAACGAGUAUCAUUCUUAUUAGGUCCUUAUUAACAACUAAAUGAAUGAAAAAAAUAAGAGCAUCUCAUUUGUUUUGGUUUGUAAUGCAAUAUAUACACAUAGAUCUCAUUGAAGGAUAAUAUUUUUUGGGUUAAUCUCUGUUUACUACUCUGAAGUUUCGUGAUUUUCAACAUUUAGUACAUGAAGUUUUUUUCGUCCCAGAGUCAUACAUAAAGUGUUAAUUUUGGGACAGUCUCAUACAUCCGUUAGUCAAACUGUUAACUCUGCUGUUA
rnacentral:lncRNA from 1 species